UUGGGUGUGACGAUAACAUUAUCCCUGAUUUUCAAUGAUUUUCAUGUAUUCAUACUGUCUGACCCAC